rnacentral:rRNA from 1 species
UACAGAGGGUGCAAGCGUUAAUCGGAAGUACUGGGCGUAAAGCGCACGCAGGCGGUUGGUUAAGUCAGAUGUGAAAGCCCCGGGCUCAACCUGGGAACUGCAUUUGAAACUGGAAAACUAGAGUGUGUGAGAGGGGGGUAGGAUUCCAAGUGUAGCGGUGAAAUGCGUAGAGAUUUGGAGGAAUACGAGUGGCGAAGGCGGCCCCCUGGCACAACACUGACGCUCAG